GGGCCGGUAGCGUAGUGGUCAGCGUGUUCGCUAAGCGUUUUUCAGCGGUGCUUUCCAGCGUUGCUUUCCAGCGUUUAGCGAGAGUCCUGGGUUCAAAUCCCAGCCCGCCCA